rnacentral:piRNA from 1 species
UUUUAAAAACUAAUUGACGUC